GAUGAACGCUGGCGGCGUGCCUAAUACAUGCAAGUCGAGCGAACAGACGAGGAGCUUGCUCCUUCGACGUUAGCGGCGGACGGGUGAGUAACACGUAGGUAACCUACCUAUAAGACUGGGAUAACUUCGGGAAACCGGAGCUAAUACCGGAUAAUAUUUCGAACCGCAUGGUUCGAUAGUGAAAGAUGGCUUUGCUAUCACUUAUAGAUGGACCUGCGCCGUAUUAGCUAGUUGGUAAGGUAACGGCUUACCAAGGCAACGAUACGUAGCCGACCUGAGAGGGUGAUCGGCCACACUGGAACUGAGACACGGUCCAGACUCCUACGGGAGGCAGCAGUAGGGAAUCUACCGCAAUGGGCGAAAGCCUGACGGAGCAACGCCGCGUGAGUGAUGAAGGUCUUCGGAUCGUAAAACUCUGUUAUUAGGGAAGAACAAACGUGUAAGUAACGGUGCACGUCUUGACGGUACCUAAGCAGAAAGCCACGGUUAACUACGU
rnacentral:rRNA from 1 species